CCAGAGCCUCGGUGUGGGUGGGGGGCGGGGGUCCGGGCUCCCGGACAGACCUGCCACCUUCAGAAUCGGAGGCCGGCGGAGCAAGGCGGGUGGGGGUCUGGGCUCAGCUGGCCAAGUGGCCGCGGGCUGGCAGAAGGCGUGGCGCAGCCCGGGACCCCCGCUGUCCUGAGGGGCGCUGUCAGCGGGAAUGCCUUCCGUGACUAGAGCUCCCUGGGAGGCCUGCGCGCCGUCUUCUGCUCGGUGGCGCCCAGAGCCAGGCUGGUCCCUGCACGCCGCUCCCUGUCCUGUCCCCAGGCCUCCUGCAGAUGCAGCUGAUCCUGCACUACGACGAGACCUACCGCGAGGUGAAGUAUGGCAACAUGGGGCUGCCCGACAUCGACAGCAAGAUGCUGAUGGGCAUCAACGUGACGCCCAUCGCCGCCCUGCUCUACACACCUGUGCUCAUCAGGUUUUUUGGAACGAAGUGGAUGAUGUUCCUGGCUGUGGGCAUCUACGCCCUCUUUGUCUCCACCAACUACUGGGAGCGCUACUACACGCUUGUGCCCUCGGCUGUGGCCCUGGGCAUGGCCAUCGUGCCUCUUUGGGCUUCCAUGGGCAACUACAUCACCAGGUGAGCCUAGUGGGCAGCAGGGCAGGAGGCUGGAGACCUGGCCAAGCCUCCACUUUAUUGCCAACUUUGGCUGGGGGACCACAGGAAGCCCCUUCUGCCCUCUGGGCCUCAGUUUCCCCACACCGGGGCUGGUCUGCCCCUAGCUCUGGGUGCAGGACACACAGGAGUGGCACAGGUCGGGCUGGGGAGAGCCUUCUCUCCUUUGUGGUCCAGGAUGGCGCAGAAGUACCACGAGUACUCCCACUACAAGGAGCAGGAUGCGCAGGGGAUGAAGCAGCGGCCUCCACGGGGCUCCCACGCGCCCUAUCUCCUGGUCUUCCAAGCCAUCUUCUACAGCUUCUUC
rnacentral:sRNA from 1 species